GACGAACCGUGCGAACGUUGUUCGGAAUCACUGGGCUUAAAGGGCGCGUAGGCGGGCGGUCAAGUCAGAGGUGAAAUCCCACGGCUCAACCGUGGAAGUGCCCCUGAUACUGAUCGUCUCGAGGGAGGUAGGGGCGUGCGGAACUUCCGGUGGAGCGGUGAAAUGCGUAGAGAUCAGGAGGAACACCCAUGGCGAAGGCAGCGCUCUGGUCGGCAUCUGACGCUGAGAGGCGAAAGCGUGGGGAGCGAACGGG
rnacentral:rRNA from 1 species